rnacentral:rRNA from 1 species
AUUGAACGCUGGCGGCAGGCCUAACACAUGCAAGUCGAGCGGAUGAGAGGAGCUUGCUUCUCGAUUCAGCGGCGGACGGGUGAGUAAUGCCUAGGAAUCUGCCUGAUAGUGGGGGACAACGUUUCGAAAGGAACGCUAACACCGCAUACGUCCUACGGGAGAAAGCAGGGGACCUUCGGGCCUUGCGCUAUCAGAUGAGCCUAGGUCGGAUUAGCUAGUUGGUGAGGUAAUGGCUCACCAAGGCGACGAUCCGUAACUGGUCUGAGAGGAUGAUCAGUCACACUGGAACUGAGACACGGUCCAGACUCCUACGGGAGGCAGCAGUGGGGAAUAUUGGACAAUGGGCGAAAGCCUGAUCCAGCCAUGCCGCGUGUGUGAAGAAGGUCUUCGGAUUGUAAAGCACUUUAAGUUGGGAGGAAGGGUUGUAGAUUAAUACUCUGCAAUUUUGACGUUACCGACAGAAUAAGCACCGGCUAACUCUGUGCCAGCAGCCGCCGUAAUAC